rnacentral:misc_RNA from 1 species
GAUGAAGAACGUAGCGAAAUGCGAUAAAUAAUGUGAAUUGCAGAAUUCCGUGAAUCAUCGAGUCUUUGAACGCACAUUGCACUCCUUGGUAUUCCGAGGAGUACGCCUGUUCGAGCGUCAUUACACUCUCAAGCUCUGCUUGGAUUUGAAUCCCUGUCGGGGCAGGAUUCCAAUAUUGUCGGCAAUUGAUCAUCUGUGAUGACUCACUUGGAGUUAAUUCGCCUACCUCCUUCUUCCAGUUGACCUCGGAUCAGGCGGGGAUACCCGCUGAACUUAAGCAUAUCAAUAAGCGGAGGA